rnacentral:pre_miRNA from 1 species
UAUAUAUUUCCUUUAUUUUGAAUUACUUGUCGCGGGUAUGGAUGUAUCUAGAUAUAUUUUAGUUCUAAAUAUAUCCAUUUUUGCGACGAGUAAUUUAAAACAGAGGAAGUAUUUC